UACGUAGGGUGCAAGCGUUGUCCGGAAUUAUUGGGCGUAAAGAGCUCGUAGGUGGUCUGUCGCGUCGGCUGUGAAAUCCCGAGGCUCAACCUCGGGCCUGCAGUCGAUACGGGCAGACUAGAGUUCGGUAGGGGAGACUGGAAUUCCUGGGUGUAGCGGUGGAAUGCGCAGAUAUCAGGAGGAACACCGGUGGCGAAGGCGGGUCUCGUGGGCCGAAACUGACACUGAGGAGCGAAAGCGUGGGGAGCAAACAGG
rnacentral:rRNA from 1 species